rnacentral:rRNA from 1 species
UACGUAGGGGGCAAGCGUUGUCCGGAUUUAUUGGGCGUAAAGAGCGUGUAGGCGGCCAGGUAGGUCUGCUGUGAAAACUCGAGGCUCAACCUCGAGAUGUCGGCGGAAACCAUCUGGCUAGAGUCCGGAAGAGGAAAGUGGAAUUCCCGGUGUAGUGGUGAAAUGCGCAGAUAUCGGGAAGAACACCCGUGGCGAAGGCGGCUUUCUGGGACGGUACUGACGCUGAGACGCGAAAGCGUGGGGAGCGAACAGG